rnacentral:rRNA from 1 species
UAUGGAGGAUGCAAGCGUUAUCCGGAUUCAUUGGGUUUAAAGGGUGCGUAGGCGGAAUAAUAAGUCAGUGGUGAAAGCCUGUGGCUUAACCAUAGAAUUGCCAUUGAUACUGUUAUUCUUGAGUAUAGUUGAAGUGGGCGGAGUGUGUAAUGUAGCGGUGAAAUGCUUAGAUAUUACACAGAACACCAAUUGCGAAGGCAGCUCACUAAGCUGUUACUGACGCUGAGGCACGAAAGCGUGUGGAGCAAACAGG